AUGUCAGCACAACAGGCCAGGUUAAGGCUCCACCCUGGGAUUAUUGCGUCUGUGAUCUUCGUCUCUGUGGCAGCAAUCGUUGCUGCUGUAUUGAUCAUCCGAAAAUACUGCUUCCCUGUCAACGAGGCGACAUACAGAUACUCAGUGCUGAGGCGGAUGGAGGAUCAGGGUUCAGCAGUGAGAGAGGAGGAUGGCGACAGGGGGCCCUGCACAGUGGGAGAGGAGUCAGACGAGGUCAGUGCAUCGUGGCUUUCCCUGAUUGUGGCUUUCACAGUCAUCCGUCCCACAGCACAAGUUGACACAGCUCUAACCUUCCUCAUCACAUCACAUGUCAUUUGUAACUUUUUUUUUUCCUUGUGACAGGAUCUUCUGGAGUAAAUCGCAGACUGGGAGGCUGCUCGGCCAACCUGAAAAAAAGAGGGUUCUUUUGUGGAUGGAUUGUUUAAUGGUUAUUUUCAGUAUUGAUUAAUCUUCAGAAUAUUUUUUUCAAUUAUUGAUGAAUCAUUUGGUGCACAUGGCCGAGGAAAGUGGUAAAGAAAGAAAAUCACAAUUUCCUGCAGCCCAUGGUGACUUCAUCACCAUUUGGGAGUCCAAAACUCCCGAAUAUUCAAUUUGAUAUAAUUUAAAACAGGAAAAAGCAACACAUUCUCACAUUUGAGAAGCUGGAACCAUCAAAUGUUUGGCAUAUUUUUUUGAACAAUAACCUCAAUUAGUAAUCGAGUAUCAAAAUACUUGCUGAUAUUAUUUUUUGUGGACUGACUAAUCAGGUUAUCAAUGAGUUACAGCUGUCGUGUAGUUUAUGUUACUGGGUUUGUAUUCAUUAUCUGGCUUGAAUUGAGUGUUAUUUCUUUAUGUUUAAUGUGAAGUAUUGAGUUUAAUCUGAUGUUUUACCAGAUUCUUUAAAGCUUGUCUUACUGUCCAGCUGUUGAAACCCAGAUGUGAGAAAAGAGGAGGUGAUAAACAUAUUGAUAUGUUGAGCUCACAGCAAUAAUUUGGGACUUUAUUUGCACUGAGUUUCACCCCUCAGGCUACAUACAAGCUACUCCUUGACCCACUCGUAGGGGCAGGGUUGUACCUGCAGGCACUACUCAGGGCUGAAUAAAAUAUUGCAAACUCCUCUGCAUGUUUUUCAGGUAAAAGAACCAUUUAAUCUAUAUUUUUCACAAUCAGUAUUCUCCUAACAAGAUAGCACAAUCAAGUAUUGCACGUAAAAUAUUUAUUGAUCAUAAAAUGUCAUCACAGCUAAACUUUUAAGUAGAGUUAGUGUACUAAAAUACAGUAAUUUACACAGUAUGUCUACAUGGUUAUUAUACUAUCAUUAAUUUUGAAAGCAUAAGAAAAUCGUACAAUAAUUUAUUAAUUUCUAGACUGAUAUAAAUAUUCUGACCUACGUCUUUGAUCAAAAUACUUCUAGCUAUGUGAAAAGGUGGCUACUGCUGCUGAUCCAACUGAGAAUCAACACUCCACCGCUCAGAUUCUUCUUGUUUUCACUAAUUUUAUAAAAUACUGUCAACUAAUUUGAGAAUAAAAAUGUAUGAUUAAUUCGGGCAUGAUUAAAUGCCCAGAAUCUAGUUGUAUGUAUUGUAUUAUACACAUGAUAUUGACGAAUGGAGAUAAAAACCUGUAGAAAGAAAGUGGUUUCAAGGUAAUAAUUUAACAGAAACAAGAUAAUAAAUAGGAAUGUAACAAAACCUUUCACUGUAGAAUUAUUUCAUUAAUGCAGGUAUUGGGAGUUGUUGCAUUAUAAAGAAUUUAUACAUUCAUUCAGUAUCUGUCUGAAUAAGUCAGAGAAUGCACAAUAUUAUCCAGCUGUUGUAAAAUAAGCACAAUUUCCACAAAGCAACACACGGAAUAUGACAUUUCUGAUGAUUUAAAACACCUUGAUUGACUUGCAGCUAAAAAUAGUCACACUAAGACUGCAGCUAUCUACCAGUUGGCCAGUUUCCUUUGAAAUGUAUUUCCCUUUUCAUGCUAACAUUAACCCACUUCAAGUUAAUUUGCUGUCCACAGACUCUUUAAUGGACUUCUAGGCUGAGUGAUGUUGCAUGAUAUCUUCUGACAGCUACAUUUGCCACAAAGAAGAAGAAAAAAACACCCAGCAACUGCAUCUCCCAGGGAACAUUAUUAUGUGAACAUUAAUGUGACAGGAUGCUGGUCACAGCUUUCACCAUGCUUUCUCUUUUAAUUAGUGUUUGUAUGGCCAACAAAUUAAGCAAUGGAAUCAAUCUGUUGUCAUCGGUCUCCACGUGUUUUAUGAGUAGUUCUGGUAUUAUUGCACAUUUUACAUCUGAUGAAAGGGUUUUCUCUACAGUUACUGAUGAUGGUAUGAUGUUAAUGUUGACUCCUGUGUUAUCGCUGUAUAUUCUGGUGUAUAUUUGAGAAAUACAUAUGUUCUUUAUUAAAUAUAUUCCUCCUGUGGACUGGCUGUUGUGUUUGCCACCUGCUCAGAUUCAACUCAUGACCUGCAUAAUUUACUCGUUCUGUCUUAUCUGAAGAGCAUCUUUGCUUUGUUAGAAAAUACAUAUUUUAUAUUGUUUGAACUGCUGACUUCCCAAGGUUGCCCAUUUUAAAUAAGCUGUGAUUGUUUACCAAAAAAGCAACAAACAUGGAUAUUUUAUUCCUACAAUGUUAUCCAGUCUUGAUUCUCUGGAUGCACAAUGUUCCCUCAGAUCAGUACAAAGUAGUACACAUAGACCAUCUACUGGUUCUCUUUAGUAUUACACUAUAAACGUGUUGUUAUAAUGUAAAUCCCUUUAUAUGUAACAGCCUUCUGUUAAUAUAUAUAUGUGUAUAUAUAUAUAUAUAUAUAUAUAUAUAUAUAUAUAUAUAUAUAUAUAUAUAUAUAUCAUUACUUUAGCAAAGAGGGAAGUCAGGAACUACAGAGACAAAUAAACUGGAAGACCUAUAACCUGUACUGCACCAUGGGGU
ensembl:lncRNA